rnacentral:misc_RNA from 1 species
AGUGAAACCUGAUGGUUCUUGGCGUGCAAAGGCAGAAGGUGAUCGAAGGAGUAUUGGUGAUCUCGGACGGUGGCACUUACCUGAUGGUACUCUUCUUGAAUCUCAAGAUAUAGAGUCAAAGCCCAGGACUGGAAUUCUUAAGCAUGUUAUACAGGAAGGAGGCUCUGAAAGCUGUGGACUUAAAGUUGGGUUGAAGAAGAAUAGAAAUGGUUUGUGGAAAAUUAACAAACCUGAAGCUAUGCAGACAUAUCCACAAAGAGAUGGAGUAAGAGAGAACGUAGAAAAUCAUAUUCAAAAUAUCCUUCCCAUGAGCAGCAGUGCCACUGUGAGUGGCAAGGAAGGUGAAGAUCCCAGUGUUAAUCAGGAUGGUCUCAUUAACUUUGAUUUCCCUACCAAUGGGUUUGAACUUGAAACCGUUUCUCCAAAUUUUGCCCCAGCACAUGGUUGUAAUGACCGGAACCCCCCAGGACCAGCUAGAGGUGCUGAAGUUAUUGUCCUUAGUGAUUCUGACGAAGAAGAUGAACCAUUCAUCUCUUCUGCAUCCAUUUACAAUAACAGCCAUACCAAUGCACCUGUAGUCUCUUUUGCGGGUAGGCCUAAAGGAAUUUCAGCUUCUUGCCAUGACAACCGGACACUUUUUAAUGAUGGGAAUCCAUGCCGGGGAAUUGCAAAGAAUAACGAAAUUAUGACGAAUGUGUGGUCUUUGCCUACUGUUAACCAGUGUGCCCCAAGCUUUCAGUUAUUUGGUACAGCUAUGCAUCAGGGUUCUAUCAACCGUACAAGCUCUACCAAUGGCUACUCGUUGCCUGCAGACACUGGCAUUGGAUCUUGUACUCUUCUUCCUGAAUCUUCCGUUGAUCGUAUGAAUGCUGCAAUGUGUGAUGGUUCAAAUAACAAUACCGUAUUAUGUGACGGUAUUCAAG